rnacentral:rRNA from 1 species
GACGAACGCUGGCGGCGUGCUUAACACAUGCAAGUCGAACGAUGACCUCCGUGCUUGCACGGGGUGAUUAGUGGCGAACGGGUGAGUAACACGUGAGUAACCUGCCCCCCACUCUGGGAUAACCUCGGGAAAUCGGGGCUAAUACCGGAUAUGAGUUUCCGCCGCAUGGUGGUUUCUGGAAAGUUUUUCGGUGGGGGAUGGACUCGCGGCCUAUCAGUUUGUUGGUGAGGUAAUGGCUCACCAAGGCGAUGACGGGUAGCCGGCCUGAGAGGGCGACCGGCCACACUGGGACUGAGACACGGCCCAGACUCCUACGGGAGGCAGCAGUGGGGAAUAUUGCACAAUGGGCGAAAGCCUGAUGCAGCGACGCCGCGUGAGGGAUGACGGCCUUCGGGUUGUAAACCUCUUUCAGUAGGGAAGAAGCGAAAGUGACGGUACCUGCAGAAGAAGCGCCGGCUAACUACGUGCCAGCAGCCGCCGUAACAC